GAAAAGGAGAUGAGACCCUGAAAAAUCGCAACGUGAAAACAAAGCGGCUGGACAGCAAGAAGUACAGCGACCUGAUAGUGCUGGGUUUGCCUUGGAUCAGCACAGAAGAUGACAUGAAGUCUUACUCCUCAGUCAACAUGGCACAGAUUUUCAUCAGUCCAAAUGCGACACACGUGGCGUUGUCACUGGUCUAGAGUACUGGGAGCUACUACCCCCCAACCUCACCCUAAGUGCUGCGGUUGUGGUACUAAAAGGCCAUCGUACAGGCUACGACAGGGCAGUUUUCCAGAUAAAGCAGAUAAUGCUAGAACGCAGAAACCAUCAAUCCUCGCCUAAAUGUGCAAAUGUGCAACACUAUAUGUCGCUAGCAACGAGCUCCUGU